GUCGAGCGAACGGACGAGAAGCUUGCUUCUCUGAUGUUAGCGGCGGACGGGUGAGUAACACGUGGAUAACCUACCUAUAAGACUGGGAUAACUUCGGGAAACCGGAGCUAAUACCGGAUAAUGUUUUGAACCGCAUGAUUCAAAAGUGAAAGACGGUCUUGCUGUCACUUAUAGAUGGAUCCGCGCUGCAUUAGCUAGUUGGUAAGGUAACGGCUUACCAAGGCAACGAUGCAUAGCCGACCUGAGAGGGUGAUCGGCCACACUGGAACUGAGACACGGUCCAGACUCCUACGGGAGGCAGCAGUAGGGAAUCUUCCGCAAUGGGCGAAAGCCUGACGGAGCAACGCCGCGUGAGUGAUGAAGGUCUUCGGAUCGUAAAACUCUGUUAUUAGGGAAGAACAUAUGUGUAAGUAACUGUGCACAUCUUGACGGUACCUAAUCAGAAAGCCACGGCUAACUACGUGCCAGCAGCCGCGGUAAUACGUAGGUGGCAAGCGUUAUCCGGAAUUAUUGGGCGUAAAGCGCGCGUAGGCGGUUUUUUAAGUCUGAUGUGAAAGCCCACGGCUCAACCGUGGAGGGUCAUUGGAAACUGGAAAACUUGAGUGCAGAAGAGGAAAGUGGAAUUCCAUGUGUAGCGGUGAAAUGCGCAGAGAUAUGGAGGAACACCAGUGGCGUAGGCGACUUUCUGGUCUGUAACUGACGCUGAUGUGCGAAAGCGUGGGGAUCAAACAGGAUUA
rnacentral:rRNA from 1 species